GUAGUCGUGGCCGAGUGGUUAAGGCGAUGGACUUGAAAUCCAUUGGGGUCUCCCCGCAGAUUCAACCCUGCCGACUACG